CCAAGGCUAAAUACUCCUGACUGACCGAUAGUGAACCAGUACCGUGAGGGAAAGGCGAAAAGAACCCCGGCGAGGGGAGUGAAAAAGAACCUGAAACCGUGUACGUACAAGCAGUGGGAGCACCCUUCGGGGUGUGACUGCGUACCUUUUGUAUAAUGGGUCAGCGACUUAUAUUCUGUAGCAAGGUUAACCGUAUAGGGGAGCCGGAGGGAAACCGAGUCUUAACCGGGCGUUAAGUUGCAGGGUAUAGACCCGAAACCCGGUGAUCUAGCCAUGGGCAGGUUGAAGGUUGGGUAACACUAACUGGAGGACCGAACCGACUAAUGUUGAAAAAUUAGCGGAUGACCUGUGGCUGGGGGUGAAAGGCCAAUCAAACCGGGAGAUAGCUGGUUCUCCCCGAAAGCUAUUUAGGUAGCGCCUCGUGAAUUCAUCUCCGGGGGUAGAGCACUGUUUCGGCUAGGGGGCCAUCCCGGCUUACCAACCCGAUGCAAACUGCGAAUACCGGAGAAUGUUAUCACGGGAGACACACGGCGGGUGCUAACGUCCGUCGUGAAGAGGGAAACAACCCAGACCGCCAGCUAAGGUCCCAAAGUCAUGGUUAAGUGGGAAACGAUGUGGGAAGGCCCAGACAGCCAGGAUGUUGGCUUAGAAGCAGCCAUCAUUUAAAGAAAGCGUAAUAGCUCACUGGUCGAGUCGGCCUGCGCGGAAGAUGUAACGGGGCUAAACCAUGCACCGAAGCUGCGGCAGCGAACGUAUCACCCAAGACAACUUUACGGAGUUGACGAUUGACGGAGCGAAGCGACGUCAAAGCGUUCAUUAAAGUCGAGUUGGCUUAGGGAUACGUUCGUUGGGUAGGGGAGCGUUCUGUAAGCCUGUGAAGGUGUGUCGUGAGGCAUGCUGGAGGUAUCAGAAGUGCGAAUGCUGACAUAAGUAACGAUAAAGCGGGUGAAAAGCCCGCUCGCCGGAAGACCAAGGGUUCCUGUCCAACGUUAAUCGGGGCAGGGUGAGUCGACCCCUAAGGCGAGGCCGAAAGGCGUAGUCGAUGGGAAACGGGUUAAUAUUCCCGUACUUGGUGUUACUGCGAAGGGGGGACGGAGAAGGCUAUGUUGGCCGGGCGACGGUUGUCCCGGUUUAAGCGUGUAGGUGUGUGUUCCAGGUAAAUCCGGUUCACUUUAACACUGAGGCGUGACGACGAGGCACUACGGUGCUGAAGCAACAAAUGCCCUGCUUCCAGGAAAAGCCUCUAAGCAUCAGGUAACACGAAAUCGUACCCCAAACCGACACAGGUGGUCAGGUAGAGAAUACCAAGGCGCUUGAGAGAACUCGGGUGAAGGAACUAGGCAAAAUGGUGCCGUAACUUCGGGAGAAGGCACGCUGACACGUAGGUGAAGUGAUUUACUCAUGGAGCUGAAGUCAGUCGAAGAUACCAGCUGGCUGCAACUGUUUAUUAAAAACACAGCACUGUGCAAACACGAAAGUGGACGUAUACGGUGUGACGCCUGCCCGGUGCCGGAA
rnacentral:rRNA from 1 species